rnacentral:rRNA from 1 species
ACCUACGGGGGGCAGCAGUAGGGAAUUUUCGUCAAUGGGCGCAAGCCUGAACGAACAAUGCCGCGUGAACGAGGAAGGUCUUCGGAUCGUAAAGUUCUGUUGAAGGGGAAAAAGAGCGGAGAGAGGAAAUGGUCUCCGAUUGAUAUUACCCUUCGAGGAAGUCACGGCUAACUACGUGCCAGCAGCCGCGGUAAUACGUAGGUGGCGAGCGUUAUCCGGAAUGAUUGGGCGUAAAGGGUGCGUAGGCGGCCUGCUAAGUCUGGAGUGAAAGGUACCGGCUCAACCGGUACAGGCUCCGGAAACUG